rnacentral:rRNA from 1 species
UACGAAGGGGGCUAGGCGUUGCUCGGAAUCACUGGGCGUAAAGCGCACGUAGGCGGAUUGUUAAGUCAGGGGUGAAAUCCUGGAGCUCAACUCCAGAACUGCCUUUGAUACUGGCGAUCUUGAGUCCGGGAGAGGUGAGUGGAACUGCGAGUGUAGAGGUGAAAUUCGUAGAUAUUCGCAAGAACACCGGUGGCGAAGGCGGCCAACUGGACGAAUACUGACGCUGAGACACGAAAGCGUGGGGAGCAAACAGG